rnacentral:rRNA from 1 species
GUGCCAGCCGCCGCGGUAAUACGUAGGGACCGAGCGUUGUCCGGAUUCAUUGGGCGUAAAGAGCUCGUAGGCGGCUAUUCAAGUCGAACGUGAAAUCUCGGAGCUCAACUCCGAAACUGCGUUCGAUACUGGGUAGCUAGAGUCUGGUAGGGGGAUCUGGAAUUCCUGGUGUAGCGGUGGAAUGCGCAGAUAUCAGGAGGAACACCGGUGGCGAAGGCGGGAUCCUGGGCCAGUACUGACGCUGAGGAGCGAAAGCGUGGGGAGCAAACAGGAUUAGAUACCCCUGUAGUCC